UACGAAGGGGGCUAGCGCUGUUCGGAAUCACUGGGCGUAAAGGGCGCGUAGGCGGCCGAUCAAGUCGGGGGUGAAAGCCUGUGGCUCAACCACAGAAUUGCCUUCGAUACUGUUUGGCUUGAGACCGGAAGAGGUUAGUGGAACUGCGAGUGUAGAGGUGAAAUUCGUAGAUAUUCGCAAGAACACCAGUGGCGAAGGCGGCUGACUGGUCCGGUUCUGACGCUGAGGCGCGAAAGCGUGGGGAGCAAACAGG
rnacentral:rRNA from 1 species